rnacentral:sRNA from 1 species
CACACCAAACCACCAGUUCUUUUCUUUUCUUUUCUUCUUUAUUAUUGAAUGCUUGGGGAAUUGCAGAGUACAUCUACGCAUAGUGUUUUUAAAGUAGUGCACAUGAAAAACAUUGGUUCCAUUGGUUCUGUCGUGUGCCAUUAAUACACAUCUCCAUGUGUUUUGUGGUCAACAGCGAUUUUCUCUAUUUCCUUUAUCUCAUUACCUUGGUUAUGGUUAUCUCUGCCAUCCCAUCAGUUUAUCUACUGUAUAUGAUGUCUGAAACUCGGAGUGUCCUGUGAUGGUUGAGCGCAUCAAUGCGUGGCCGUGUUGGAGUCCGAAUUCUCUCUUGCUGUGCUGGGAACAACAUCUCGCCUAAGCAAACCCCUUAGUUAACCCCUUGACCUCCUUUCCUCGUUCUAUCAACCUCCUAGCAAAUGCACCGUCAACACAAUAGCCAG